ACUGCCAGACGUAAGGUUUUGC
rnacentral:miRNA from 1 species